UGAACAGAACAAAUUUGAGCAGCGUAAAUAGGCUUGAUCAGAUCAGACCCUAAACAGCCCAGGUGCUAAGAAACAAAGUAAUUGUACACAAGCCAGGAUCAGCGCUGUGCCAGUUCCCGGAGGUGACUGUCAGAAAAGCAGACAGAAAAGAGGCACCAUCGUGUCGAGGGAAUGAGGUCAGAAAUCACCCGGUGGACCAUUCGCUCUGCGAAGGAAUACGGCGGGACAGUGGGGCUCGCGAGCCAGGCAGGCUUUGUAAAAGGAGAGAAGGCCAAUCUCAGUGGAGAGAAACUUGGGGAAUUUGUGCAAUAUGUGCCUGUAUACACUUUUAAAAAAAAAAGAGA